UACGUAGGGACCAAGCGUUGUUCGGAUUUACUUGGCGUAAAGGGCGCGUAGGCGGCGCGACAAGUCACUUGUGAAAUCUCUGGGCUUAACUCAGAACGGCCAAGUGAAACUGUUGUGCUAGAGUGCAGAAGGGGCAAUCGGAAUUCUCGGUGUAGCGGUGAAAUGCGUAGAUAUCGAGAGGAACACCAGAGGUGAAGACGGGUUGCUGGGCUGACACUGACGCUGAGGCGCGAAAGCCAGGGGAGCAAACGGG
rnacentral:rRNA from 1 species